UACGUAGGGAGCAAGCGUUGUCCGGAAUCAUUGGGCGUAAAGCGCGCGUAGGCGGCCCCGUAAGUCCGCUGUGAAAGUCAAAGGCUCAACCUUUGAAAGCCGGUGGAUACUGUGGGGCUAGAGUCCGGAAGAGGCGAGUGGAAUUCCUGGUGUAGCGGUGGAAUGCGCAGAUAUCAGGAGGAACACCAAUAGCGAAGGCAGCUCGCUGGGACGUUUACUGACACUAAGGCGCGAAAGCGUGGGGAGCGAACAGG
rnacentral:rRNA from 1 species